UACGAAGGGGGCUAGCGUUGCUCGGAAUUACUGGGCGUAAAGGGCGCGUAGGCGGUCAGCACAAGUCAGUUGUGAAAUCUCCGGGCUUAACUCGGAAAGGUCAACUGAUACUGUGCGACUAGAGUGCAGAAGGGGCAACUGGAAUUCUCGGUGUAGCGGUGAAAUGCGUAGAUAUCGAGAGGAACACCAGUGGCGAAGGCGAGUCCCUGGACAACACCUGACACUGAGGCACGAAAGCUAGGGGAGCAAACAGG
rnacentral:rRNA from 1 species